GAUGAACGCUGGCGGCGUGCUUAACACAUGCAAGUCGAACGGUGAAGGCGGAGCUUGCUCUGCUGGAUCAGUGGCGAACGGGUGAGUAACACGUGAGCAAUCUGCCCCUGACUCUGGGAUAAGCGCUGGAAACGGCGUCUAAUACUGGAUACGAGCUGCGAAGGCAUCUUCAGCAGCUGGAAAGAAUUUCGGUCAGGGAUGAGCUCGCGGCCUAUCAGCUUGUUGGUGAGGUAAUGGCUCACCAAGGCGUCGACGGGUAGCCGGCCUGAGAGGGUGACCGGCCACACUGGGACUGAGACACGGCCCAGACUCCUACGGGAGGCAGCAGUGGGGAAUAUUGCACAAUGGACGAAAGCCUGAUGCAGCAACGCCGCGUGAGGGACGACGGCCUUCGGGUUGUAAACCUCUUUUAGCAGGGAAGAAGCGAAAGUGACGGUACCUGCAGAAAAAGCGCCGGCUAACUACGUG
rnacentral:rRNA from 1 species